rnacentral:rRNA from 1 species
UACGUAGGGGGCGAGCGUUGUCCGGAGUUACUGGGCGUAAAGCGCACGCAGGCGGUCGCGUAAGAGUGCGGGGACAGUGGGCGGCUUAACUGCCCAAGGGUCGCACAGACUGCGUGACUGGAGGGCCAGAGAGGGACCUGGAAUUCCGGGUGGAGCGGUGAAAUGCGUAGAGAUCCGGAGGAACACCAGAGGCGAAGGCGGCCUACUGGGUCAGUACUGACGCUGAGCCGCGAAAGCCAGGGGAGCGAACGGG